AGCCUUCUGUAUCCGUGCUGAGAUUUCGUCAGCGAUCAACCUGUUACAUCUGAUGCAACUUCCAAUGUAAGUGAAGUG
rnacentral:pre_miRNA from 1 species